rnacentral:rRNA from 1 species
CGCCCGCUCAGAAACUUAAAUGAAUUGACGGGGGCCCGCACAAGCAGCGGAGCGUGUGGUUUAAUUCGAUGAUACACGAAGAACCUUACCCAGGCUUGACAUGUUGGUAGUAGGGAUCCGAAAGGUGACCGACCCUUCGGGGAGCCUUCACAGGUGCUGCAUGGCUGUCGUCAGCUCAUGUCGUGAGAUGUCCGGUUAAGUCCGGUAACGAGCGCAACCCUCGCUGUGUGUUAUAUGUGUCACACGGGACUGCCGGUAUCAAGCCGGAGGAAGGUGGGGAUGACGUCAAGUCAGCAUGGCCUUUAUGUCUGGGGCUACACACACGCUACAAUGGCCAGUACAAUAGGUUGCAAGACCGCGAGGUGGAGCCAAUCCCCAAAGCCGGCCUCAGUUCAGAUUGCAGGCUGCAACUCGCCUGCAUGAAGCUGGAGUUGCUAGUAAACGCGCGUCAGCUAUAGUGCGUUGAAUACGUUCUCGGGCCUU